CGGCGAAAGCAAACCAUGCGAUUAUCUGAGGACAGCGCCCAGCACACAAAUGCAUAACAAAUCAUUUUCAACCAGGGAGUUGCGACACGAAAGUCAGAAAUAGUAAUAUAAUAUAUGCCUUACCUUUGAAGAUCUUCUUCUGUUGGCACUCCAAAAGGUCCAAGUUACAUUACAAAUGGUCUUUUUGUUCAAUAAAGUCCUUCUUUAUAUCCAUAAAAACUCAGUUUAGCUGGUGAGCUUCAGUCAAUAAUCCACUCGGUUUCCCUCCUUCAAAAUGCAUACAAAAUGAAUCCCAAACGUUACCAAUAAACUUAUCCAAACAAGUCAAUCAAGGUUUAUAAUCAAUCCUUAGGUACCCUAAUAUGCAAAUAAACAAUACAAUUUAAGACGGAGAAUCGUUAUUGUCUUUACCGGAGAUAAACAAAAAGAAUGCGCUCUCUCGGCCAUGCGUUUGGAAACACUACAGCCAAAAUGGGAGCCACUUAGAAAAACUACAACUUCUCCCUCAUUUUUCCAAAAAACAGCCUGAAACUCUUUCUCAAGACUGUUGACAUCUAGUGGAAGCCCUAGGAACUGCAAUCGGGGACGAUUUCGCCCUAUUAUUAAAGUGCCAAUAUUUUUUUGUUGUUGAUUGUUUAUACUCAGGGUUUCGCCUGCCAUUUCAGUUCUGUUAUACUCACAGACAUUAUUUUAACAAUUUUAGAAACUUGAGAAUGUUUCUAUCCAAAUCUACCAAUUAUAUGCAUAUCCUAGCUUCUGGGCCUGAGUAGCAGGCAGUUUACUUUGGGCACGCUUUUCACCCAGACGUCAAAAUAUCGCUUAAGUGCAGACCUCAGGACCUCGGUUAAGACAGAAUGCGGCCUGCUGGGCAACAUGAGUUUAACACCCUUGAACUAGAUGUACAACAAAGCAGGAAAGCUCAAGGAACGGACAUGGUAUGUUAGGAAAGGUCAUGGUAUGUUAGGAACGGUCAUGAUAUGUUAGGAACGGUCAUGGUAUGUUAGGAACGGUCAUGGUAUGUUAGGAACGUCAAGAUAUGUUAGGAACGGACAUGGUAUGUUAGGAACGGUCAUGGUAUGUUAGGAACGGUCAUGGUAUGUUAGGAACGUCAAGAUAUGUUAGAACGGUCGUGGUAUGUUAGGAACGGUCAUGGUAUGUUAGGAACGGUCAUGGUAUGUUAGGAACGGUCAUGGUAUGUUAGGAACGGUCAUGGUAUGUUAGGAACGGUCAUGGUAUGUUAGGAACGGUCAUGGUAUGUUAGGAACGGGCAUGAUAUGUUAGGAACGGUCAUGAAAUGUUAGGAACGGUCAUGAUAUGUUAGGAACGGACAUGGUAUGUUAGGAACGGUCAUGAAAUGUUAGGAACGGUCAUGGUAUGUUAGGAACGGUCAUGGUAUGUUAGGAACGGUCAUGGUAUGUUAGGAACGGUCAUGGUAUGUUAGGAACGGACAUGGUAUGUUAGGAACGGUCAUGGUAUGUUAGGAACGGACAUGGUAUGUUAGGAACGGACAUGGUAUGUUAGGAACGGUCAUGGUAUGUUAGGAACGGUCAUGGUAUGUUAGGAACGGUCAUGGUAUGUUAGGAACGGACAUGAUAUGUUAGGAACGGACAUGGUAUGUUAGGAACGGACAUGGUAUGUUAGGAACGGUCAUGGUAUGUUAGGAACGGUCAUGGUAUGUUAGGAACGGUCAUGGUAUGAACGGUCAUGGUAUGUUAGGAACGGUCAUGGUAUGUUAGGAACGGUCAUGGUAUGUUAGGUCAUGGUAUGUUAGGAACGGUCAUGGUAUGUUAGGAACGGUCAUGGUAUGUUAGGAACGGACAUGGUAUGUUAGGAACGGUCAUGGUAUGUUAGGAACGGUCAUGGUAUGAUAGGUCAUGGUAUGAUAGGAACAGACAUGGUAUGUUAGGAACGGUCAUGGUAUGUUAGGAACGGUCAUGGUAUGAUAGGUCAUGGUAUGAUAGGAACAGACAUGGUAUGUUAGGUCAUCAUAUGUUUCACCUUGCAGUAUAUUUAGUAUGCUUUGUGCAUACUGGCCAGUGUUGAACAGGGCUGACACGCACGCACGCACACACACACACACACACACACACGCCAAAGCAUGCGCACACACACAAACACACGCACACACAGAUGCGUGCCAAAGCAUACAGUAUAUACACACAGGAAAACACACACACACAGGAACAAACACACACUGCCGCCAACUCGUGAAUUCAUGAUGAGUCAGCCACCCUGAGCUAAACUUCACUGGCAGGGCUUGAAACAAUGUCACCAGGAUAAGCCUGUCAGUUUAAAGUUAGACUCCACACUUUUAAAAAAAAAACAUGUGAAAAUCGUAUUUGUUUAAUCAAUUUUCCUGAUUUUGCUAAUUGUUACUUUGGACAAAAUCAAAAUGGCAAUGUUAUUGUAAUGCUUUUUGUAAAAAAAAAAAUAUCUAUAUUAAAUUGAAGAUUAAUUUGAAUAAGUUAUAAAUUCGUGAUUAAUCGUGAUUAAAAAAUCCAGCGAUUAACAAGAUAUUUUGUGUUAUUUUUAUAAUUUGACAGCCGUAGAUAUGAAAAUACACUUGUGAUAGUGUAGCCAGUGGCGGAUUUAGGCGACAUGGGCAGCCGCCCAGGGCGGCAUUCUGCUGGGGUCAGCAUGGGGCACCCACACAAAACAAUAAUACAAAUCCGAAUGGUGACAUUUGCACAUCACGUCAAUGAUAUCAUGUCACCGUGUGGGACUGUG
rnacentral:lncRNA from 1 species